rnacentral:rRNA from 1 species
UACGUAGGGGGCUAGCGUUGUCCGGAUUUACUGGGCGUAAAGAGCGCGCAGGCGGUCGUUCAAGUCGAGUGUGAAAGCCCCCGGCUCAACUGGGGAGGGUCACUCGAUACUGAUCGACUUGAAGGCGGGAGAGGGAAGCGGAAUUCCCGGUGUAGUGGUGAAAUGCGUAGAUAUCGGGAGGAACACCAGUGGCGAAGGCGACUACCUGGCCUGUUCUUGACGCUGAGGCGCGAAAGCUAGGGGAGCAAACGGG